rnacentral:lncRNA from 1 species
AUGGAACAGGCGGCGUUUACGGGGCCAAACCCGGGACAGCGUUUCCCUUUUGCAACCCGCCCUGGCCCCGGGGCGGCGUUUUUCCACCCUUUUUCCACCCUUUCUUUCACCCUUUUUCCACCCUUUUCACCCUUCCUUUUUCACCCUUUUCCCCCCCCUUUUUCCACCCUUUUUCACCCUUUUCCCCCCCUUUUUUCACCCUUUUCCCCACCCUUUUUCCACCCUUUUCCCGUCCUUUUUCCACCCUUUUUUCACCCUUUUUUCACCCUUUUUUUCACCCUUUUUCCACCCUUUUUCACCCUUUUCCCCCCCUUUUUUCACCCUUUUUUCACCCUUUUUCCGCCCUUUUUCCGCCCUUUUUCCACCCUUUUUCACCCUUUUUUCACCCUUUUCCCACCCUUUUUUCACCCUUUUCCCACCCUUUUCCCGUCCUUUCCCCACCCUUUCCCCCCCCUUUUGUCACCCUUUUUUCACCCUUUUUCCACCCUUUUUCCGCCCUUUUCCCACCCUUUUCCACCCUUUUUUCCUCCCUUUUCCCUCCCUUUUUCCACCCUUUUUUCACCCUUUUCCCACCCUUUUUUCACCCUUUUUUCACCCUUUUCCCACCCUUUUCCCACCCUUUUCCCACCCUUUUUCACCCUUUUCCCAUCCUUUUUUCACCCUUUUCCCCACCCUUUUUCCACCCUUUUCCCGUCCUUUCCCCACCUUCCCCCCCCCCUUUUUCCACCCUUUUUUCACCCUUUUUCCUCCCUUUUUCCACCCUUUUUCACCCUUUUCCACCCUUUUUCCACCCUUUCCCCACCUUUUUCACCCUUUUUCCACCCUUUUUCCUCCCUUUCCCCACCCUUUUCCCACCCUUUUUUCACAUUUUUCCCCACCCUUUUUUCACCCUUUUCCCACCCUUUUCCCACCCUUUUUUCACCCUUUUUUCACCCUUUCCCCACCCUUUCCCCACCCUUUUCCCACCCUUUUCCCACCCUUUUCCCACCCUUUUCCCACCUUUUUCCCCACCCUUUUUUCCCCUUUUUCCCCACCCUUUUUUCACCCUUUUCCCACCCUUUUCCACCCUUUUUUCACCCUUUUCCCACCCUUUUCCCCCAUUUUUUUCCUCCCUUUUCCCUCCCUUUUUCCACCCUUUUUUCACCCUUUUCCCACCCUUUUUUCACCCUUUUUUCACCCUUUUCCCACCCUUUUCCCACCCUUUUUUCACCCUUUUUUCACCCUUUUCCCCACCCUUUUUCCACCCUUUUCCCGUCCUUUCCCCACCUUCCCCCCCCCCUUUUUCCACCCUUUUUUCACCCUUUUUCCUCCCUUUUUCCACCCUUUUUCACCCUUUUCCCACCCUUUUUCCACCCUUUUUCCUCCCUUUUCCCACCCUUUUUCCUCCCUUUUCCCACCCUUUUCCCACCCUUUUUUCACCCUUUUUUCACCCUUUUCCCACCCUUUUCCCACCCUUUUCCCACCCUUUUCCCACCCUUUUUUCACCCUUUUUUCACCCUUUUCCCACCCUUUUCCCACCCUUUUCCCACCCUUUUUUCACCCUUUUCCCCAUCCUUUUUUCACCCUUUUCCUACCCUUUUUUCACCCUUUUUCCACCCUUUUUCCACCCUUUUUCACCCUUUUCCACCCUUUUACCUCCCUUUUUCCACCCCUUUUUCACCCUUUCCCGCCCUUUUUUCACCCUUUUCCCACCCUUUUUCCACCCUUUUUCCCACCCUUUUCCCCCCUCUUUUCCACCCUUUUCCCACCCUUUUCCCACCCUUUUCCCACCCUUUUCCCACCCUUUUUUCACCCUUCCCCCCCCCUUUUUUCACCCUUUUUCCACCCUUUUUCCACACUUUUUCCACCCUUUUCCCACCCUUUUUUCACCCUUUUCCCCGCCUUUUUCCACCCUUUUCCCACCCUUUUCCCACCCUUUUUUCACCCUUUUCCCACCUUUUUUCCACCCUUUUUUCACCCUUUCCCCCCCCUUUUUCCACCCUUUUUCCACCCUUUUCCCACCCUUUUUUCACCCUUUUCCCACCCUUUUCCCACCCUUUCCCACCCUUUCCCACCCUUUUCGCUGGACGCGGCCGCUCGCGGGAUCAAAGGGGGCGCGGGGGCCUCCGGGGGUGGGUGGGGGACGGGACCUUGGCCAAAGCAGCGGCCAAAUCCCGGCCCCUCUCCCUGCCCCAUCCCUCCGGGAUGCGAUCCCACGGCGUGGGGGAGAGGGAGGGAGGGAGGGAGGAGGCACCUGGAAUGCUGAGAUUCCAUGGCGGGGUCCCAUUCCAACCCCCCCUCCCCAAAAUCUGGGUGCUGCCUGCGCCUGGGUGCUCCUUAUCCCGGAUUCUCCUUAUCCUGGGUGUUCCGUAUCCCUGGAUUUUCCCUGUCCCGGGUGUUCCUUAUCCCUGGAUUCUCCCUGUCCCGGGUGUUCCUUAUCCCUGGAUUCUCCCUGUCCUGGGUGUUCCUUAUCCCGCAUUUUCCCUGUCCUGGGUGUUCCUUAUCCCGCAUUUUCCCUGUCCGGGGUGUUCCUUAUCCUGGAUUCUCCCUGUCCCGGGUGUUCCUUAUCCCUGGAUUCUCCCUGUCCUGGGUGUUCCUUAUCCCGCAUUUUCCCUGUCCUGGGUGUUCCUUAUCCUGGAUUCUCCCUGUCCCGGGUGUUCCGUAUCCCUGGAUUCUCCCUGUCCUGGGUGUUCCUUAUCCCGCAUUUUCCCUGUCCCGGGUGUUCCUUAUCCCGCAUUCUCCCUGUCCCGGGUGUUCCUUAUCCCUGGAUUUUCCCUGUCCCGGGUGUUCCUUAUCCCUGGAUUCUCCCUGUCCCGGGUGUUCCUUAUCCCGCAUUUUCCCUGUCCUGGGUGUUCCUUAUCCUGGAUUCUCCCUGUCCCGGGUGUUCCUUAUCCCGCAUUUUCCCUGUCCGGGGUGUUCCUUAUCCCGCAUUUUCCCUGUCCUGGGUGUUCCUUAUCCUGGAUUCUCCCUGUCCCGGGUGUUCCUUAUCCCUGGAUUCUCCCUGUCCUGGGUGUUCCUUAUCCCGCAUUUUCCCUGUCCUGGGUGUUCCUUAUCCUGGAUUCUCCCUGUCCUGGGUGUUCCUUAUCCCGCAUUUUCCCUGUCCUGGGUGUUCCUUAUCCUGGAUUCUCCCUGUCCCGGGUGUUCCUUAUCCCACAUUUUCCCUGUCCUGGGUGUUCCUUAUCCUGGAUUCUCCCUGUCCCGGGUGUUCCUUAUCCCACAUUUUCCCUGUCCUGGGUGUUCCUUAUCCUGGAUUCUCCCUGUCCUGGGUGUUCCUUAUCCCGCAUUCUCCCUGUCCCGGGUGUUCCUUAUCCCGCAUUUUCCCUGUCCUGGGUGUUCCUUAUCCCGGAUUCUCCCUGUCCUGGGUGUUCCUUAUCCCGCAUUUUCCCUGUCCUGGGUGUUCCUUAUCCCGCAUUCUCCCUGUCCCGGGUGUUCCUUAUCCCGCAUUCUCCCUGUCCCGGGUGUUCCUUAUCCCUGGAUUCUCCCUGUCCCGGGUGUUCCUUAUCCCGCAUUCUCCCUGUCCUGGGUGUUCCUUAUCCCUGGAUUUUCCCUGUCCCGGGUGCUCCUUAUCCCUGGAUUUUCCCUGCCCUGGGUGUUCCUUUUCCCUGGAUUUUCCCUGUCCCGGGUGUUCCUUAUCCCGCAUUUUCCCUGCCCUGGGUGUUCCUUAUCCCGGAUUUUCCCUGUCCCGGGUGUUCCUUAUCCCGGAUUCUCCUUAUCCUGGGUGUUCCUUAUCCCGGAUUCUCCUUAUCCUGGGUGCUGUUUUUUCCUGGGUCCUGCUUUUCCCCGCAUCCCGAUUUUCCCCGGGUGCCAGGAAUUGUCCCCACCGGGCUCCGCGUCCCAUUCCCAGGGAAACCCGCGGGAUGCUCCCAAGGCAGCGGGAGGGGAAGGGCCGGGAUCCGGGAUCCUGUGGGAAUGCGGGAAUGUGGGAAUCUGGGAAUGUGGGAAUGCGGGAAUGCGGGAGUGUGGGAAUGUGGGAAUGCGGGAAUCUGGGAAUGCGGGAAUGCGGGAAUGCGGGAAUCCGGGAAUGUGGGAAUCUGGGAUCCUGUGGGAAUCUGGGAUCCUGUGGGAAUGCGGGAAUGCGGGAUCCUGUGGGAAUGCGGGAAUGCGGGAUCCUGUGGGAAUGCGUGAAUCUGGGAAUGCGGGAAUGUGGGAAUGCGGGAAUGCGGGAAUGUGGGAAUCUGGGAAUGCGGGAUCCUGUGGGAAUGUGGGAAUGUGGGAAUGCGGGAAUGCGGGAAUGUGGGAAUCUGGGAAUGCGGGAUCCUGUGGGAAUGUGGGAAUGCGGGAAUGCGGGAAUGCGGGAAUCUGGGAAUCUGGGAAUGUGGGAAUGUGGGAAUGCGGGAGUGUGGGAAUGUGGGAAUGCGGGAGUGUGGGAAUGCGGGAAUGUGGUAAUGCGGGAAUGCGGGAAUGUGGGAAUCUGGGAAUGCGGGAAUGCGGGAAUACGGGAAUGCGGGAAUGUGGGAAUGCGGGAGUGUGGGAAUGUGGGAAUCUGGGAAUGUGGGAAUGCGGGAAUGUGGGAAUGCGGGAGUGUGGGAAUCUGGGAAUGUGGGAAUGCGGGAAUGCGGGAAUGUGGGAAUGUGGGAAUCUGGGAAUGUGGGAAUGCAUUCCGCCACCUGCUUGGCUUGGGGCGGGGCAGAGGGAAGCGGCUCCCGCUGCUAUUCCUGGAGCCGGGAAGGAAAACUGGGGGGGGAAAGGCGAAAAAAGGGGGGGAAACGGCAAAAAAAAAGAAGGAAAAAGAGGGGAAAGGGGGGGAAAAAGGGGGAAAAAGCGAAAAAUGAGAAUUGGGAUGGGAAAGGCUCAGCUGCUCCUUUCCCCCCCUCCUCCAGGCCCCAUUCCAAGCGGGAAUAGCAGAGCAGGGAAGGGAACGGGAGCCCGGAGCCGGCAGCUCCCGGCCCGCCCCGGUAAUUUGGGAUGGCCAGAUCCCAAAAAAAGAAAGAAAAAAAAAAAGAUGGGAAGAGGAUGCGCCAGCACGAGCAGGGAUGGAGAGGCUUUUUUUGGGAUAUUCCCUCUCUCCUCCCACAGCAUCCCCCCAAAAAAACCCCUAAAAACCCCACAGGGAAGCGGGAACUGGGGAAAAGGGGGUUCCAGCACCCCGUGAUCCCAAAUCCAUGAGCGCAGCCGGGAAUAAGGAGCUGGGGAAGGACCUCGGGAAGAGGAUUUUUGGGUUGGUUUUGUUUUUUUCUUCGGAAGAAUGGAAAAUGUAAUGACAGGGUCUGGAUGAAAAGAACAAAAGGAAGCAGCUGGAAAGGCCCUAAAUAGAGAAAAACCCACAAAACCACAAAAGGGUGAGAGGGAACAGGGGGUGAAAGGGGAAGGGAAGGAUUGGGAUCCCUUUCCGCGGCCCCAUAGAGGGGUUUGGGGCUGCCUUAGGGGGGAGAGGAACGGGGUGAGGGGUGGGAGGGCGGGAAAUGACCCCAAAAUGCGUCCCCUGUGUCCCCUCCCUGCCGCUGCUCCUGCCCGGGGGGUGCAGAGGGGGCUCCUGCAGCCCCUGUCCCCAAAUGGGGCAUCCCUGGGGACCCCAAAUGGGGCAUCCCUGGGGACCCCAAAUGGGGCAUCCCUGGGGACCCCAAAUGGGGCAUCCCUGGGGACCCCAAAUGGGGCAUCCCUGGGACCCCAAAUGGGGCAUCUCUGGGACCCCAAAUGGGGCAUCCCUGGGGACCCCAAAUGGGGCAUCCCUGGGGAUCCCAAAGUGAAGCAUCCCUGGGACCCCAAAUGGGGCAUCCCUGGGGACCCCAAAUGGGGCAUCCCUGGGACCCCAAAUGGGGCAUCCCUGGGGAUCCCGAAUGGGGCAUCCCUGGGGAUCCCAAAGUGAAGCAUCCCUGGGACCCCAAAUGGGGCAUCCCUGGGGACCCCAAAUGGGGCAUCCCUGGGACCCCAAAUGGGGCAUCCCUGGGGAUCCCGAAUGGGGCAUCCCUGGGACCCCAAAUGGGGCAUCUCUGGGACCCCAAAUGGGGCAUCUCUGGGGACCCCAAAUGGGGCAUCCCUGGGGAUCCCAAAGUGAAGCAUCCCUGGGACCCCAAAUGGGGCAUCCCUGGGGACCCCAAAUGGGGCAUCCCUGGGGAUCCCAAACCGGAGCAUCCCUGGGGACCCCAAAUGGGGCAUCCCUGGGACCCCAAAUGGGGCAUCCCUGGGGACCCCAAAUGGGGCAUCCCUGGGGAUCCCAAAUGGGG